rnacentral:rRNA from 1 species
GUUGUAUGGUUAAGUGACUAAGCGUACAUGGUGGAUGCCUUGGCAGUCAGAGGCGAUGAAGGACGUACUAACCUGCGAUAAGCCGUGAGCAGUCGGUAAGAGACAUUACGACUCACGGAUUUCCGAAUGGGGAAACCCACCUAGCAUAAGCUAGGUAUCGCUACGUGAAUACAUAGCGUAGCGAGGCGAACCGGGAGAACUGAAACAUCUAAGUACCCCGAGGAAAAGAAAUCAACCGAGAUUCCCUCAGUAGCGGCGAGCGAACGGGGAUUAGCCCUUAAGCAUCUUGGAAGUUAGUGGAACGGUCCUGGAAAGGCCGGCGAUACAGGGUGAUAGCCCCGUACACGAAAACAACCUUGAUGUGAAAUCGAGUAGGGCGGGACACGUGACAUCCUGUCUGAAUAUGGGGGGACCAUCCUCCAAGGCUAAAUACUCCUGACUGACCGAUAGUGAACCAGUACCGUGAGGGAAAGGCGAAAAGAACCCCUGUGAGGGGAGUGAAAUAGAACCUGAAACCGUGUACGUACAAGCAGUGGGAGCCCUUCGGGGUGACUGCGUACCUUUUGUAUAAUGGGUCAGCGACUUACAUUUUGUAGCGAGGUUAACCGUAUAGGGGAGCCGUAGGGAAACCGAGUCUUAACUGGGCGUCUAGUUGCAAGGUGUAGACCCGAAACCGGGUGAUCUAGCCAUGGGCAGGUUGAAGGUUGAGUAACAUCAACUGGAGGACCGAACCCACUAACGUUGCAAAGUUAGGGGAUGACCUGUGGCUGGGGGUGAAAGGCCAAUCAAACUCGGAGAUAGCUGGUUCUCCCCGAAAGCUAUUUAGGUAGCGCCUCGGACGAAUACUACUGGGGGUAGAGCACUGUUUGGGCUAGGGGGUCAUCCCGACUUACCAACCCCAUGCAAACUCCGAAUACCAGUAAGUAAUAUCCGGGAGACACACGGCGGGUGCUAACGUCCGUCGUGAAGAGGGAAACAACCCAGACCGCCGGCUAAGGUCCCAAAGUUCUGGUUAAGUGGGAAACGAUGUGGGAAGGCUCAGACAGCUAGGAUGUUGGCUUAGAAGCAGCCAUCAUUUAAAGAAAGCGUAAUAGCUCACUAGUCGAGUCGGCCUGCGCGGAAGAUGUAACGGGGCUCAAACCAGGCACCGAAGCCGCGGAUUCACGCUAAGCGUGAGUGGUAGGGGAGCGUUCUGUAAGUCUGCGAAGGUGUGUCGAGAGGCAUGCUGGAGAUAUCAGAAGUGCGAAUGCUGACGUAAGUAACGAUAAAGGGGGUGAAAAGCCUCCUCGCCGGAAGACCAAGGGUUCCUGUCCAACGUUAAUCGGGGCAGGGUGAGUCGACCCCUAAGGUGAGGCCGAAAGGCGUAAUCGAUGGGAAGCAGGUUAAUAUUCCUGCACGACUUGUAAUUGCGAUGGGGGGACGGAGAAGGCUAGGUGGGCCAGGCGACGGUUGUCCUGGUGAAAGUGCGUAGGUGGUGUUUCUAGGCAAAUCCGGAGACACAACACUGAGACACGAGACGAACUACGGUGUGGAAGCCAUUGAUGCCCUGCUUCCAGGAAAAGCCUCUAAGCUUCAGAUUACAAGUCAUCGUACCCCAAACCGACACAGGUGGUCGGGUAGAGAAUACCAAGGCGCUUGAGAGAACUCGGGUGAAGGAACUAGGCAAAAUAGUACCGUAACUUCGGGAGAAGGUACGCUCUUGUUGGUGAAGUCCCUUGCGGAUGGAGCUGACGGGAGUCGCAGUGACCAGAUGGCUGGGACUGUUUAUCAAAAACACAGCACUCUGCAAACACGAAAGUGGACGUAUAGGGUGUGACACCUGCCCGGUGCCGGAAGGUUAAUUGAUGGGGUUAGCGCAAGCGAAGCUCUUGAUCGAAGCCCCGGUAAACGGCGGCCGUAACUAUAACGGUCCUAAGGUAGCGAAAUUCCUUGUCGGGUAAGUUCCGACCUGCACGAAUGGUGUAACCAUGGCCAUGCUGUCUCCACCCGAGACUCAGUGAAAUCGAAUUCGCCGUGAAGAUGCGGUGUACCCGCGGCUAGACGGAAAGACCCCGUGAACCUUUACUACAGCUUGGCACUGAACAUUGAACCUACAUGUGUAGGAUAGGUGGGAGGCUUUGAAGGCGUGACGCCAGUUGCGCUGGAGCCGUCCUUGAAAUACCACCCUUGUAUGUUUGAUGUUCUAACGCAGGGCCCUGAAUCGGGCUCGCGGACAGUGCCUGGUGGGUAGUUUGACUGGGGCGGUCUCCUCCCAAAGAGUAACGGAGGAGCACGAAGGUUGGCUAAUCCUGGUCGGACAUCAGGAGGUUAGUGCAAUGGCAUAAGCCAGCUUAACUGCGAGACGGACAGGUCGAGCAGGUACGAAAGUAGGUCAUAGUGAUCCGGUGGUUCUGAAUGGAAGGGCCAUCGCUCAACGGAUAAAAGGUACUCCGGGGAUAACAGGCUGAUACCGCCCAAGAGUUCAUAUCGACGGCGGUGUUUGGCACCUCGAUGUCGGCUCAUCACAUCCUGGGGCUGAAGUCGGUCCCAAGGGUAUGGCUGUUCGCCAUUUAAAGUGGUACGCGAGCUGGGUUCAGAACGUCGUGAGACAGUUCGGUCCCUAUCUGCCGUGGGCGUUGGAUGAUUGAAGGGAGUUGCUCCUAGUACGAGAGGACCGGAGUGAACGAACCUCUGGUGUUCGGGUUGUCACGCCAGUGGCACUGCCCGGUAGCUAAGUUCGGAAUCGAUAACCGCUGAAAGCAUCUAAGCGGGAAGCGAGCCCUGAGAUGAGUCAUCCCUGACCCCUUGAGGGUCCUAAAGGGCCGUUGGAGACCACAACGUUGAUAGGUGGGGUGUGUAAGCGCGGCGACGUGUUGAGCUAACCCAUACUAAUUACCCGUGAGGCUUAACCAUACAACACCCAAGAAGUGUUC